rnacentral:rRNA from 1 species
CUACGGGGCGCAGCAGUGGGGGAUAUUGCACAAUGGAGGAAACUCUGAUGCAGCAACGCCGCGUGAAGGAAGACGGUUUUCGGAUUGUAAACUUCUAUCAGCUGGGAGGAAAAUGACGGUACCAGACUAAGAAGCCCCGGCUAACUACGUGCCAGCAGCCGCGGUAAUACGUAGGGGGCAAGCGUUAUCCGGAUUUACUGGGUGUAAAGGGUACGUAGGCGGUUUGUUAAGUCAGAUGUGAAAGCCCGAGGCUCAACCUCGGGACUGCAUUUGAAACUGACAAACUAGAGUACAGGAGAGGAAAGUGGAAUUCCUAGUGUAGCGGUGAAAUGCGUAGAUAUUAGGAAGAACACCAGUGGCGAAGGCGGCUUUCUGGACUGUAACUGACGCUGAGGUACGAAAGCGUGGGGAGCGAACAGGAUUAGAUACCCCCGUAGUC